UGGGGGAUAUUGCACAAUGGAGGAAACUCUGAUGCAGCGACGCCGCGUGAGGGAAGAAGGUCUUCGGAUUGUAAACCUCUGUCUUUGGGGAAGAAAGAAAUGACGGUACCCAAAGAGGAAGCCACGGCUAACUACGUGCCAGCAGCCGCGGUAAUACGUAGGUGGCGAGCGUUGUCCGGAAUUACUGGGUGUAAAGGGUGCGCAGGCGGGAUGUCAAGUUGGAUGUGAAAUCUCUAGGCUUAACCUAGAGUGUGCAUUCAAAACUGGCGUUCUUGAGUGAGGCAGAGGCAGGCGGAAUUCCCGGUGUAGCGGUGAAAUGCGUAGAGAUCGGGAGGAACACCAGUGGCGAAGGCGGUCUGCUGGGCCUUAACUGACGCUGAGGCACGAAAGCAUGGGUAGCAAACAGG
rnacentral:rRNA from 1 species